rnacentral:lncRNA from 1 species
GGGAAUAAAAUGCGAUAGAAUGAUAAUGUACAAUGAGAAGUGAUAAUUCGUAAACCAAAAUGUUCUCUAAUGAGCGACAAAUAAUCAAUAAAUACAAAUAAGCAAUACAAUACACAUAAGAGCAAUAAUCUCACUUAACAUAUUAUGUAAAUACUAAAGCUAGUGGAAAAAAAAACCUAAUUAAAAAAAAGGACACCAAGCAAAUUAACACAAACA